UGAUUAGUGAUGUUUUUGUUUGUUGUGAAUGAAAAUAAAAUGUAAAGAGAUUAUUUUCUUGGUCUUGGUUUGUUGAGAAAAAAAGAUGAAAGAUUUUGAAAGGGAGGAAAGAGAGAAAAGAGUUUCUUCUGCUGCAUUUUUUUGUGUUGUAAUAUAUGUUAUUUGUUUUUGUUUUUUAUUAUUAUAAUAACAAGUCCAUGUGUCAUAUUCUAAUUGGGUCAUUUUAAUUUUGAAGAAAAGUCAAAGUGGAAUUUAACCACAUCC
rnacentral:lncRNA from 1 species